CGGCGGACGGGUGAGUAACGCGUGGGUAACCUACCCUGUACACACGGAUAACAUACCGAAAGGUAUGCUAAUACGGGAUAAUAUAUUUGAGAGGCAUCUCUUGAAUAUCAAAGGUGAGCCAGUACAGGAUGGACCCGCGUCUGAUUAGCUAGUUGGUAAGGUAACGGCUUACAAGGCGACGAUCAGUAGCCGACCUGAGAGGGUGAUCGGCCACAUUGGAACUGAGACACGGUCCAA
rnacentral:rRNA from 1 species